GACGAACGCUGGCGGUGUGCUUAACACAUGCAAGUCGAACGGAAAGGCCCUGCUUUUGUGGGGUGCUCGAGCGGCGAACGGGUGAGUAACACGUGAGUAACCUGCCCUUGACUUUGGGAUAACUUCAGGAAACUGGGGCUAAUACCGGAUAGGAGCUCCUGCUGCAUGGUGGGGGUUGGAAAGUUUCGGCGGUUGGGGAUGGACUCGCGGCUUAUCAGCUUGUUGGUGGGGUAGUGGCUUACCAAGGCUUUGACGGGUAGCCGGCCUGAGAGGGUGACCGGCCACAUUGGGACUGAGAUACGGCCCAGACUCCUACGGGAGGCAGCAGUGGGGAAUAUUGCACAAUGGGCGGAAGCCUGAUGCAGCAACGCCGCGUGCGGGAUGACGGCCUUCGGGUUGUAAACCGCUUUCGCCUGUGACGAAGCGUGAGUGACGGUAAUGGGUAAAGAAGCACCGGCUAACUACGUG
rnacentral:rRNA from 1 species